UACGUAGGGAGCGAGCGUUAUCCGGAUUUAUUGGGCGUAAAGGGUGCGUAGGCGGUUUGUUAAGUAUGAGAUUUAAGCCUGGAGCCUAACUCCAGUUCGUUUCAUAAACUGGCAGACUUGAGUAUGGCAGAGGUAAGCGGGAUUUCUAGUGUAGCGGUUAAAUGCGUAGAUAUUAUAAGGGACACCAGUGGCGAAGGCGGCUUACUGGGCCACAACUGACGCUGAGGCACGAAAGCGUGGGGAGCAAAUA
rnacentral:rRNA from 1 species